GACGUAGGGCGCGAGCGUUGUCCGGAUUUAUUGGGCGUAAAGAGCUCGUAGGCGGCUUGUCGCGUCGACUGUGAAAUCCCGAGGCUCAACUUCGGGCUUGCAGUCGAUACGGGCAGGCUAGAGUUCGGUAGGGGAGACUGGAAUUCACGGUGUAGCAGUGAAAUGCGUAGAUAUCGUGAGGAACACCGGUGGCGAAGGCGGGUCUCUGGGCCGAUAUUGACGCUGAGGAGCGAAAGCGUGGGGAGCGAACAGG
rnacentral:rRNA from 1 species